UUUAAGCAGCUGGGAAAUUUGUUGUCGCUGUGCAGAGAAAUUGCUGGCGCACGCGAUAUUUUACAAAAAUUCGAAAAUUUGAAAAAACAACACGAGUGAAAUUUCAACUGAUGAUUUUGCAUUUUUAAGACGGCGAUCAUGGAAAUUAAAUUGUAGGAAAAACUUCACUAACAUCUCAAGUAUGGAAAGCAUCUACAUUAUCAGCAUUUUAAUUUUGGAUUGAUUCAAACUUCAGGCGAUAAAGUUACAUAGCUAGGAGUUGGCUUUUGUGCUCUUCGAAUGUCCAUUUUCAUUCGCGGAUUACCACAAUUUGUUGGUCUCAUGGGUUCCAAAAUCGACAUAAACGUAAACCGGUAACCAAGAGCUAUAAAACAAAUAGCUUUUCAAAACGAUAAACUUCAUUCAGUCAAAAGGAUGAGGGUAAAUAAACAUGCUACUGCGUGAUGGUGAUUUUGAAGCAACUUUGUCACAUAUAUUUUAAAAAGUGGGAUAAUGAAUCAAAUUUUGCUUUUUUCAAUCCCAAAAAGGUAUGAAAAUUAUUUAAAUAUUUAAGGUUUCCGUGUUUAUAAUGUUUUUUUGAGAAAAGUAAACAUUUUUCCGAUAAAAAAGCAUAGUUUCUGCAGAAAACUGUUUUUUGAGGUAGAAUAUCCUGGGAGAGGGGGUGUAGAAGUGUGGGCGGAUAGCAAAAAACUUUGACGAUUUCACCAAAAAUUUAAUACCAAAUUUUGUUUUGUCUUAGUUUGAUAUGUAAUUUAAACAAGUUUUUUUACAUCUAAAAAUUGCCCCUCGUGAUCAAAACUUGGAUUAUGUUCGCAGUAUUGUCUAUUUGUUUACUUCUGGAGAUCAAAGUUUG